AGGAAAUUGACAACAUUCGUGGAAUGCUUUUCUAAACCGCUUCCUUCCAUUAAAAAUCAUUAAACCCUUAUAGCCCAAAUCCCAUCCUAACUCCUUCAAACUCUUUCCAUAAUUCAAACGAAAGUGAUAGGUCUUCGCAAAGGGGUGGAGAGUCUCAAGAAUUAAUUGUAUUUGCAAAGGAGUUUGGUACUGAUGAUGGCUUUUCUUAUAAAAAUGCUUCUUAUAAUCUUAUUUAGGUUUCAAUGUAAAUUGUACGCAUAAUAUAUGUAAAUUUGAAUCAACACACCAUAUAUUAUACGUAUCAAUAUCACAUAUUUUAACAGCCACUUGGUGACUUGCCAGGAUAAUGGUAAAUUUGACGCAUGUCUUUUUUAAUCAUGCACUCUUUCGGGUAAAAUAGUAGAGUUAGCCCUCAUUUAUUUUGGAAGAUCCUGUUCUACUAGAAAAGAAACAUUUGAUUGACACACAAGUCUCAUAUAUAUACAUAUACCAGAGUCAGUCGUAAUCGACAUCCCGCUGCAACGCGCGGGUUAGCGUCAACUUGUUAUAUACAUA